rnacentral:rRNA from 1 species
UCGACUCCAUGAAGCUGGAUUCGCUAGUAAUCGCGCAUCAGCCAUGGCGCGGUGAAUACGUUCCCGGGCCUUGUACACACCGCCCGUCAAGCCAUGGGAGCCGGGGGUGCCUGAAGUACGUGACCGCGAGGAGCGUCCUAGGGCAAAACUGGUGACUGGGGCUAAGUCGUAACAAGGUACC